rnacentral:rRNA from 1 species
CGCUCUAUAACCCUUUGUGAACAUACCUACAACUGUUGCUUCGGCGGGUAGGCCGUCCCCUGAAAAGGACGCCUCCCGGCCCGGAACGGACCCCCCGCGGGACCGGACCCGGCGCCCGCCGGAGGAUAACCAAACUCUAUUGUAACGACGUUUCUUCUGAGUGGCAUAAGCAAAAUAAUCAAAACUUUUAACAACGGAUCUCUUGGUUCUGGCAUCGAUGAAGAACGCAGCGAAAUGCGAUAAGUAAUGUGAAUUGCAGAAUUCAGUGAAUCAUCGAAUCUUUGAACGCACAUUGCGCCCGCCAGCAUUCUGGCGGGCAUGCCUGUUCGAGCGUCAUUUCAACCCUCAAGCUCUGCUUGGUGUUGGGGCUCUACGGUCGACGUAGGCCCUCAAAGGUAGUGGCGGACCCUCCCGGAGCCUCCUUUGCGUAGUAACAUUUCGUCUCGCACUGGGAUCCGGAGGGACUCUUGCCGUAAAACCCCCCAAUUUUCCAAAGGUUGACCUCGGAUCAGGUAGGAACACCCGCUGAACUUAAGCAUAUCAAUAAGCGGAGGAAAAGAAACCAACAGGGAUUGCCCCAGUAACGGCGAGUGAAGCGGCAACAGCUCAAAUUUGAAAUCUGGCCCCAGGCCCGAGUUGUAAUUUGCAGAGGAUGCUUUUGGCGCGGUGCCUUCCGAGUUCCCUGGAACGGGACGCCAUAGAGGGUGAGAGCCCCGUACGGUUGGACACCAAGUCUUUGUAAAGCUCCUUCGACGAGUCGAGUAGUUUGGGAAUGCUGCUCAAAAUGGGAGGUAUAUUUCUUCUAAAGCUAAAUAUUGGCCAGAGACCGAUAGCGCACAAGUAGAGUGAUCGAAAGAUGAAAAGCACUUUGAAAAGAGGGUUAAACAGCACGUGAAAUUGUUAAAAGGGAAGCGCUUAUGACCAGACUUGCGCCCGGUGAAUCACCCAGCUCUCGCGGCUGGGGCACUUUGCCGGCUCAGGCCAGCAUCAGCUCGCCGUCGGGGACAAAAGCUUCGGGAACGUAGCUCUCUUCGGGGAGUGUUAUAGCCCGUUGCACAAUACCCUUCGGCGGGCUGAGGUACGC